GACUUUUCUGCUCUUACUGUAACCUUCAUAAAUUUGCUAACUUGUCUGCCUUCCUUUCUUCCCAUCAGUUCAUUUUGGUGAAACUUGUUGAAUGAUUUCUUUAACUGUGAUGUUUAGAGAAAAUCCUACUUUUCUUCCUCGAUUUCCCUCCUUAUGCUUGUUGACCUUUAAAAAAACUGUCAUUGUCCUUUGCUUUACUCAGGUAAGACAGAAGUGAGUCCCCUCAUGUGACUGUGUGAGGAGUAGUUUUGUAAUACAUUCAUUCCACUUCUUUGUCAGUUCAAGGUAGUUUGCCUUCAAGUGUACUAUUUUAGCUUAGAUUUUUGAAAGGUAUGUUGCUUUCCAUUUGCCAAAUGAACAUAAAAUAUAACUGCAUCAAUUAGGAGUUGAUAGAUUUGAAAAACUAGUGCUAAGAAUGUUAAAUCUAUUAAAAUUCAAUAGAGCAGGAUCCAGUUAAGAGGACAGAUGGAAGAAUACGUGUGCUGAAGAAAAAGACUGUUGGGUUGAUUAUUUCUGUUUGUGGAGGAUGGGGGAUAUAUUUUAUGUUGUCCUUACUGCUAUAUCAAAGCACUUGUACAUUUUAUCCUUCUCUGGUAACUCAACUCCCUGAAUCUCAAACCAUGUGAAACUGCUGGGUACUUAAUAUUCUUUUACUUCUUUUAAGGAGGAUAAUCUUGUAUUUUACUCAGAUGUAAAUAUCAGACAAUUGGAAUACCAUUCCAAGUUGAAGAAUAUGAGCCUACAGACAGGCUUCCAAGUUUCCAAAUGCAGUUUUCUAUUUCCCAUGACAUCUGUAAGGAAUUAGCACUUGUUUCAGAUUAUUUUUCUGUGUAUGCUAAUAACUCCUCUAUACCGUAAUAAAAUAGUCUACUUUUUGUAGUCUCAAUUUAUAUUUUCCUGAUACACAGUAAAUUUAUCAGCAAUACCAUAAACUGCAGCUUCAAAUUAAGGUGGGAGGGAAUAAUUUUAUAGCCAAAUUUUGCUCUCAAUUACACUGAGAUAAACCUGGAAUCACUCUGUGAAAGUCAGUGGAGUGAUAUCCAAUUUCACUGGUAUAAUUGAGUGUAUAAUUUGUGUCUUUAAUUUUACUUGCAAGAUAAUUUUACAAACCUGUUAUACUUAUGUUUCCAAUGCUUUUUCCUUUCAGACACACCCACUUCUUGCGUCUCAGCACUGGGCAGGCCUAUUCCUUUAUUUGUGUAUAUUUUUGUGCAUCAACUGCUAUAGGACACGGGUGUAACACUUUCAGGCAUGUGGUUGGGUGUCUUUUUGGGGUUUGUAAUAAUGUCUAAAAAUAAGAAUUUCUUUUCCUCAAAUUUAUUAAUGAAUUCAUGUUGGAUCACAGUUUUGCAUCUCUAACCUGAUUUUAGAUACAUAUUAAGUAGAGAUUGUCUUGAAAGAAAUACAGAUCUUUGGUGGGGAGAGUUGAUAAAAAUGUACUGCAUUCUGCAGAAAUUAAUGUUUUGGUAUUUAAUGUUUCUUGAAAGGUGGUUUUACAGAUCAUGCUCCUUCCUCUUCAUGGAAUGGCUUUCAAAGCCUUGUAUUGAUCUUGGUUUUGCCCAGUGCUUUGCCUAGUGUAUGGGGAAAUGUUGUAGAACUUGAAUAGGCCAUGACAUCUUAGACAAAGGAUGAUGAUUAUGUGCAUGCUGAACACGAACUUCUUCUAUAUGCCCUUCUGCUGCAACAGAAUAAUAAAACUGGUAGGUGGCAGCAGCAGCAGCAGAAGAAACUCAUGACUGUGACCUGAGAAACCUCCAGUACUGGGAGAAAUGGAUUGCAAAAUACUAACUGGAGUAAGGGGAAUGGAGGAGAAAGGCAGAGUCCCUGAACUGUCCCUUUGAAUGCCUUAUGGAUUGUCUUGAAUCCCUCCCUGGGGAAGGUGCACUCCCCUUUAUGGACCACUGAUCCAGACAUCAUAAAAUACUUACUGUUGCAGCUGUCAUUAGUAUGUUCCACCAUAACAAUACCUCCAUUUUGAAAUCACAGAAUCAGUUGGUGUAGGGAAGACCUCUGAGGUUGAGUCACAACCUUUGAAUGAACACUACCAUGUCAACUAGACCAGGAAGAGUCUAAUGCGUGUGAAAGAUGCUGGAUCACCAGUUGCAGAGAUUGAACUCUACCUACUGGAAAGGUUUUUCUGCAGCAACAGGAGGUCGUCUUUUGCCUCUUAUGGGGACAUUUAGCCUUUUGAUAAUGCCUCCAUCACAAUGAAGGGAAGAAAGGAUGGACCAGCAAUGAUGUGGAAUGGAGUGGUGUCCACACAUUAACAGUCAUUAUGAUCCCUGUCCUAAAAACAUGGAGAACUGAAUAAAGAGUUGAAUUGUAA